rnacentral:sRNA from 1 species
GGCGGCUGAGAACACACCCGUCGAACCUGAACUAGGUAGUGCUAGCGAAGGGAUG